rnacentral:rRNA from 1 species
UACGUAGGGGGCAAGCGUUAUCCGGAUUUACUGGGUGUAAAGGGAGCGUAGGUGGCAUGACAAGUCAGAAGUGAAACCCUUGGGCUCAACCUGAGGCAUGCUUUUGAAACUGUCAGGCUGGAGUGCUGGAGAGGUAAGCGGAAUUCCUAGUGUAGCGGUGAAAUGCGUAGAUAUUAGGAGGAACACCGGUGGCGAAGGCGGCUUACUGGACAGUCACUGACACUGAGGCUCGAAAGCGUGGGGAGCAAACAGG